rnacentral:rRNA from 1 species
CGGCAGCACGGGUGCUUGCACCUGGUGGCGAGUGGCGAACGGGUGAGUAAUAUAUCGGAACAUACCCUAGAGUGGGGGAUAACGUAGCGAGAGUUACGCUAAUACCGCAUACGAACUAAGGUUGAAAGUGGGGGAUCGCAAGACCUCAUGCUCAUGGAGUGGCCGAUAUCUGAUUAGCUAGUUGGUGAGGUAAAGGCUCACCAAGGCGACGAUCAGUAGCUGGUUUGAGAGAACGACCAGCCACACUGGAACUGAGACACGGUCCAGACUCCUACGGGAGGCAGCAGUGGGGAAUUUUGGACAAUGGGGGCAACCCUGAUCCAGCAAUGCCGCGUGAGUGAAGAAGGCCCUCGGGUUGUAAAGCUCUUUUGUCAGGGAAGAAACGGUCUACUCUAAUACAGUGGGCUAAUGACGGUACCUGAAGAAUAAGCACCGGCUAACUACGUGCCAGCAGCCGCGGUAAUACGUAGGGUGCAAGCGUUAAUCGGAAUUACUGGGCGUAAAGCGUGCGCAGGCGGUUUUAUAAGACAGAGGUGAAAUCCCCGGGCUCAACCUGGGAACUGCCUUUGUGACUGUAAGGCUAGAGUGUGUCAGAGGGGGGUAGAAUUCCACGUGUAGCAGUGAAAUGCGUAGAUAUGUGGAGGAAUACCGAUGGCGAAGGCAGCCCCCUGGGAUAACACUGACGCUCAUGCACGAAAGCGUGGGGAGCAAACAGGAUUAGAUACCCUGGU